AUCAGUGGCGAAGCUACGGGUAUUUUGUGAUGUCAAGCGACAUCACAAAAAUAUGCUUAGCUAGCUAAUCUUAGCUACGUUUAACUGUAUAUGUUUACAUAAACGUAAAUUUUUGAGCUAUCGACAUCAUUGGCUUCUAUAGCUAGCGCUGCCACUUAUGCACGUAGGACAAGUUGCUAAGCAUAUUUGGUAUACAUAGGUGAAGUUGCUGAGAUUACAUCGAUAGAACUUUUGGAAGUGUCACUGAACACAAAUCUAAACAAUGCAUCACAAAUCUAAACAAUGCAUCAUAGUCGAUGUCAAGUUCCUCCGCCGAGAAGUCCGAAGAGCCGGAGGAUGAUGAAGCCUUGCCCUUGUUCUAUUUAGACAAUAAUGAUGUUUUCUGAAAUGGGAAAUAUAUCAAAUAUGAAUUGCUAUUUUCAAGAAAUGUCUUGCUAAUGUUUAUGGCUUGUACAAUCUGUUUUCAUAUGGCCUAGUAGCUAAAUGUUAUUUGCUUGUCAUUAUACCAACAGUUAAAGCAGAUCUAAGCCUCCUCCAUGAAUAAGGUUUCAUUUGGAGGUACCAUCUUUAUUAAAACUUUGGCAAAACAAUGUCUAUGUUCAAAGGACCAUGCAACCCCUUUGCAUCUAAAUAAAUUUAGACUCGGCAUCAUGAAAGAAACUAAGAUAACUUGGGAUAUUAAUGUGUUGCCAAGAGUAGAACCAUAAUAGUGUACUGUCUCCAAGGAAAGAAUAGGAAAAUAACUAAAUUAAAACAAAUAAAUAAAUAGCUGAGUGGUCGAGUAUUAUGGCAAUUCACUUUUCAACUGGGCAGCCAUAGCUAACAUAAUAAACCAGCAACCAAUUCGCCAUUUUUGAUGGGAGCCAUGGAAAAAAAGCAGAGAAUUGAGAACUAAAUCUAAAACAGAAAUUAUCUCUUUAAAAAUAGCCAUUGAAGGGGAAAGAGGACCAUUGUCAGCUAUCCUUGUCCUCAAUGCACCGAGUAUCGUGGUUUCUUCGAUGGUGUUUUACAGCAUAAGAAAACCAGAUGUGCAGUUACUUGUUCAUAUAAGAGGAAAACUCUCAAUUAAUUUCAAGUGAUAUUUGGAUGUGCACACAAGGUAAAGAAAAAAAAAGAUUUCUACAGAUUCAUCUACUUGUGCAUGACUACUAAAAUCAAUGUCUUUUUCGGUAUUAUAUGAUCCCGAACUCUUUCAGGAGACUUAGUAUAGUCUCAGUGUCAUCAACAAAUAUAAGCAUUCUGAUCAGGUUAUGAACCUAGACCAACACAACAACAUGAAAUCAAUAUAAUAAAAGAUUAAAUUAAUGGAGAUAAAUAAGGCAAAUAAAAACAAAGGACGACCAAUCUCGAGAAAAGAAGAUGAUAUAAAUCAACACCCAAUUAUACUGAAACGAAAAAAUCUUUUUCUUUUAAGAAAAACAGUGAAAAUAACCUGUACGGCUGUACCAAUAAGAGCAUUUCCUUGGUAUAUCCUCGUAAAAUAGAAAGGGGGAAACACUGAGAUGUAAGGGA
rnacentral:lncRNA from 1 species